AUUCUUCGGGGCGGGGUGAAAUUCCCCACCGGCGGUAUAGCCCGCGAACGAAAGGUUUUUCGUAUGAUUUGGUGAGAUUCCAAAGCCGACAGUAUAGUCUGGAUGAGAGAAGAA
rnacentral:ncRNA from 1 species